GUCUCUGAUCCCUCCAGCUAAUUUGUACAUGAGCCUAUGCUUUGACUUGGAAUUUACUCUUCAGAAGACCAUAACUUUAUUUAUUCUACCUUCUCAUCUUAGGAAGAAAACAUGUCUGUUUGUCUCUGCAAAAUAACCUGCAAGGAACCUGGGACACUUGCGGAGGCUGACAGGCAUGGAAAGGUCAAAAUAAAGCAGGAGAGCUAUUUCAGCAUAUUCCUUCUGAACAAUUCCAUUUUAUGUGGUGGAUCUCUGGAAUCUCACUUUGCACACUGCAGUCCUCUGAAACAACUCAUGGCUUUUCAUUCCAUUCCACUGUGAAGACAGUUAAGUAUGUCUGAAUUCUCUCUAAGUGGAUUCACUUUAAGGAGAUGGUAACAUUAUUCCGGAUGAUUUUGCAAUCCAGUGGAGAGGGAAAAUACACUGAACAAUUAUUUUAAUGACUUGUUCAAUUAUUUAUUUUAAAUAUUUUUAAAAUGCUAUUUGAAUGAGUGGUGAUGAAGGAUCAGUGUGUGAAAUUUUUGCAUGAGGGGUGAGACCUCUGACAAGUCCUUCCUACAAAAACAGCCAUGGCUUCCACUCCUGAGAUAGUAGAGACUACAAAGAGGCAGGUAACAAUUAAGGAUGUGUCUUAACUGCAGCAUUCACUUGGGUGAUUGGCACCCAGGUCCAAGCACCUGGGUUAGCCUAGCCUUGAUGUGAGCUGCUACACUGCAAAACCAUACUUGAGUUACUGUGUCCUCACUAGGGCUGCACUCUUGUGUGUGUGUUGCUAAAAUUUUCGGGGGGAUUAUGCCAUGGUUUUUUGUGCUACAGUAAGCUGAGCUGCUCUAGGAUGCUUUCCCAGGGAAUUGUGGAAGAACUUGUCUGUCUGGACAUACAGGGAGAAUUGUGGGAAGGCAAUGGAGGACAAUCAGCACCUGAGUGGGUUAGCAUGUGUCCUCAUUGCAAAGUGCAAAGCCUCACUCAGACUUCAGCCUAGAGCCCCAGACAAGCCAGCUAGCUUGGGUUGAAUGCACCACCAAAUUUGGGUCAGAGGUUUUUGUGUGAAUGGGAUAGGGGUUAGGGGCAACACACACAUAAGAGUCUGAGUUAUCAGUGAAAGACAUUUCCCCAAAUAUAGAGAACAAAUGAAGGGACAUUAAAGGGGAACCAGAAGGAUACACUGAGCAGAGAACCAUGGACAGUGUCUUGAAGGGGGGGCUCUGUCUAUAGGAAGAACAAAGAGUGCCCCCUUCAACAGUGAGGAAGGACCAAACACGCCCCCAUGGAAUCAACUUAAAUACAGGGAACAAAGAAUGAAUAAAAAGAAGGGCGGGGGGGAAAGGCCUUGGGUCAAAGCAAGGAUUUCAGAAUGAGACCCUGAGUGGAGAACCCUGGACAAUACCCACUGCCCUGUAAAGAUGUCAUAGGAGUCAGUAGAUGUAAUGCAUCAGACUUUAAACCCAGGUGGCUGAAGUCCUAUCCAUGAUAAUUACUGCAUGGACAAUGAUUACACAACUUUUCUGCCACCACUCUGGGAAUGUGUCUCAACUUUUUUCUGCAGGGCCCACACCCUAGCGAGGUGAGAAGGUGGUUUGAGCUUCAUCCAUAUUUGUUCCUUGUCCUCUCUGCUGAGACUCACAAGUCAAUGCCAGUGACGGUGGCGGCUGAUUGGUUUUUGAGGGUAACUCUCAGGACCACACAUGCUGCAGUGAAACACACAAUCUGUUAAUUUACGUUUUAAAGGGUUUUUUUCCCUAUUGCAAUGCUGGUUUAGCAGUUAAUUCAAUCCCACAAUAAAUAUCAGACAAACACUGGUUCUUCUGCUAAGUAUUCCUUGUAAUCAUGGUAUGCAGUACUACUCAUCUGCAUCAGUGCCACCAUUGGCAGCAAUAUCUAUCAGUCCACUGUUGGAUAAAUAUCCCAUACAGUUUAAUGCUCACUUCCACCCAAGGCUGUCAAAUUCUGCUUGCUUCACUCAUGCAGGAAGACCCCGAUACUCCAAAGUAUUUAGGCUCCUAACGUCCAUAGAUUUCAAUGUGGGGUAGGCCAAAGAACUGCAUGACAUUUUGGGGGAUUAAAAGUCUGAUUGAGAAUCCUCUGAUGGUGCGGGGGGUUAGUCACAACAGGUUUGCCACUAAACACGGCAGCCCCCAAGGCCAUCACAGACAUUUGUUCAUCUGUUUAUGAUCACACCAUAAUUUGCAUGUUUAAGAAUCCCAAUAUGUUAAAUUCAUAAAUAUUUUUCUUUUAAAGCAUGAAAAAAAAAAUCACAAGCGACCACAGAGAAAAGUGCAGCCUUAGCCAAUAUAUAAUAUGUUGUGGGCAUGAUCCAGCAGUACUGAAGUCAAUGGGCAUUUUGUAAUGAACUUCAACAGGAGCAGGAUUGGAACAUGUGUUCCUCUGAUGGCAAAUUUCUGGGUUUGGGGUUUUUUUUUGUUUUGGAUACAGAAAACGGGUUUCUGAGUUGUUAACUCGGGUAGCCAGAUGGGGCUCCCAGUGAAGCUGAUUGAACUAAUGUCUUCAAUGGAAUCAAAAUCAGGCCCUAAUUCUGCUUCAGGCUAAAUGGGAAAUUGUUCUUUACAGUUUUUCUCAUAUUCGUGAAUGUUCUCAAGCCAACUUUGCAUGGUUUGCCUCCUGACUUAUUUCCUCUUGUUUCUACUUGAACAUCUGUCUGAAGUUCUGUAUUCCAUACUAAUUUUUCUGUUUCAUUUUUUGCAUGCUUGAGCAUGAUCACAGUGUUUGAGUUCAUUUUCACUAAUUUGCCUAGUUUAUAUGCUUUUGAUCUUUUAUCAGUUCUCAUAGUUCAUGAGUAGUAAGUGUGUGAGAACAGGACAAGCAUUUCUAUAGCAUUUCCUGUCUCUUUGACAGCUGUCUCAGCUAACUCUUUGACAGUGUCUUAUAUGUAAAUGAUAGGGAGCUGAUGAUGGGAUGGUUAUUUUUUCAUAGAGAAUAUCUAAAAUGGUAUAAUGAAGGACUCAGAGUGACACAGUGAUGGGUGGGCAUUUACAAUCUGCUAUGAGCUUGUUGGCUAGCUUUGUACAGAUAUAAAGACAGUGUUGUUACAAGUUUGUGUAUAGCCGAGCACAAUGGGGUCCUAAUCUGGUCCCAUAGGUGAGACUGUGAUAUAAAUAAUAAAAGUUCCUGGCAUUUUUUGUGUGUUGAAAUUUUUUGUGUGGAAAUUAUUCUCCACAGGACAAUGUAGGCACAAUAAUAAAAAGUCAUAUCCUAGUGAGCUAGAAAUGUUUUAAUGGAACGUGAAUAUCUUACAGCUAGUCUAGGGCAUGAAUGUGUUUGUUGAUUAUCCUA